rnacentral:rRNA from 1 species
UACGUAGGGUGCGAGCGUUGUCCGGAAUUACUGGGCGUAAAGAGCUCGUAGGUGGUUUGUCGCGUUGUCCGUGAAAACUCACAACUCAAUUGUGGGCGUGCGGGCGAUACGGGCAGACUGGAGUACUGCAGGGGAGACUGGAAUUCCUGGUGUAGCGGUGGAAUGCGCAGAUAUCAGGAGGAACACCGGUGGCGAAGGCGGGUCUCUGGGCAGUAACUGACGCUGAGGAGCGAAAGCGUGGGGAGCAAACAGGA